rnacentral:rRNA from 1 species
GACGGAGGAUGCAAGCGUUAUCCGGAAUGAUUGGGCGUAAAGCGUCCGCAGGUGGCAGUUCAAGUCUGCUGUCAAAGACCGGGGCUUAACCUCGGAAAGGCAGUGGAAACUGAACAGCUAGAGUAUGGUAGGGGCAAUCGGAAUUCUUGGUGUAGCGGUGAAAUGCGUAGAUAUCAAGAGGAACACCUGAGGUGAAGACGGGUUGCUGGGCCGACACUGACGCUGAGUGCGCGAAAGCCAGGGGAGCAAACGGG